rnacentral:rRNA from 1 species
CCUACGGGUGGCAGCAGUGGGGAAUAUUGGACAAUGGGGGCAACCCUGAUCCAGCCAUGCCGCGUGUGUGAAGAAGGCCCUCGGGUUGUAAAGCACUUUCAGUGAGGAAGAACGCCUGGUGGUUAAUACCCAUCAGGAAAGACAUCACUCACAGAAGAAGCACCGGCUAACUCCGUGCCAGCAGCCGCGGUAAUACGGAGGGUGCGAGCGUUAAUCGGAAUUACUGGGCGUAAAGCGCGCGUAGGUGGCUUGAUAAGCCGGUUGUGAAAGCCCCGGGCUCAACCUGGGAACGGCAUCCGGAACUGUCAAGCUAGAGUGCAGGAGAGGAAGGUAGAAUUCCCGGUGUAGCGGUGAAAUGCGUAGAGAUCGGGAGGAAUACCAGUGGCGAAGGCGGCCUUCUGGACUGACACUGACACUGAGGUGCGAAAGCGUGGGUAGCAAACAGGAUUAGAUAACCGUGUAGUC